rnacentral:tRNA from 1 species
UGGCUCAGUGGAUAGAGCGUUGGCCUGUGGACUCGAAGGUCCCGGGUUCGAUUCCUGG